rnacentral:rRNA from 1 species
GACGAACGCUGGCGGCGUGCUUAACACAUGCAAGUCGAACGACGAAGCUGGAGCUUGCUCCGGUGGAUUAGUGGCGAACGGGUGAGUAACACGUGAGCAAUCUGCCCUUGACUCUGGGAUAACUGCGGGAAACUGUAGCUAAUACCGGAUACGAGGCUCGAAGGCAUCUUCGGGUCUGGAAAGAAUUUCGGUCAAGGACGAGCUCGCGGCCUAUCAGCUUGUUGGUGAGGUAAUGGCUCACCAAGGCGACGACGGGUAGCCGGCCUGAGAGGGUGACCGGCCGCACUGGGACUGAGACACGGCCCAGACUCCUACGGGAGGCAGCAGUGGGGAAUAUUGCACAAUGGGCGAAAGCCUGAUGCAGCAACGCCGCGUGAGGGAUGAAGGCCUUCGGGUUGUAAACCUCUUUUAGCAGGGAAGAAGCGAAAGUGACGGUACCUGCAGAAAAAGCACCGGCUAACUACGUGCCAGCAGCCGCAGUAA